rnacentral:rRNA from 1 species
GACGAACGCUGGCGGCGUGCUUAACACAUGCAAGUCGAACGGUGAAGGGAUCAGCUUGCUGGUUCUGGAUGAGUGGCGAACGGGUGAGUAACACGUGAGUAACCUGCCCCCUUCUUCUGGAUAACCGCAUGAAAGUGUGGCUAAUACGGGAUAUUCUGGGUCUGUCGCAUGAUGGGUCUGGGAAAGAUAUUGUGUCGGUGGGGGAUGGGCUCGCGGCCUAUCAGCUUGUUGGUGGGGUGGUGGCCUACCAAGGCGGUGACGGGUAGCCGGCCGGAGAGGGUGCACGGUCACAAUGGGACUGCGACACGGCCCAGACUGCUACGGGAGGGAGCAGUAGGGAAUAUUGCAGAAUGGGCGCAAGCCUGAUGCAGCGACGCCGCGUGAGAGAUGGUGGCCUUCGGGUUGUACUCCUCUUUCGCAAGUGAAGCAGGCCUGCUCCUUGUGGGUGGGUUGACGGUAGCUGGAUAAGAAGCGCCGGCUAACUACGUG